rnacentral:sRNA from 1 species
UAGUAAAAGUACAGCGGCCAGGAGCAAG